AGUGAACGCUGGCGGUAGGCCUAACACAUGCAAGUCGAACGGCAGCACCGUAAGAGCUUGCUCUUACGGGUGGCGAGUGGCGGGCGGGUGAGGAAUACAUCGGAAUCUACUUUUUCGUGGGGGAUAAUGUAGGGAAACUUACGCUAAUACAGCAUCCGCCCUACGGGUGAAAGCAGGGGAUCUUCGGCCCUUGCGCGAUUGAAUGCGCCGAUGUCGGGUUAGCUAGUUGGCGGGGUAAAGGCCCACCAUGGCGACGCUCCGUAGCUGGUCUGAGAGGAUGAACAGCCACACUGGGACUGAGACACAGUCCAGACUCCUACGGGAGGCGGCAGUGGGGAAUAUUGGACGAAGGGCGCAAGCCUGAUCCAGCCAUACCGCGUGGGUGAAGAAGGCCUUCGGGUUGUAAAGCCCUUUUGUUGGGAAAGAAAAGCAGCAGGUUAAUACCCCGCUGUUCUGACGGUACCCAAAGAAUAAGCACCGGCUAACUUCGUG
rnacentral:rRNA from 1 species